rnacentral:rRNA from 1 species
UACGUAGGGUGCGAGCGUUAAUCGGAAUUACUGGGCGUAAAGCGUGCGCAGGCGGUUUUGUAAGCCAGAUGUGAAAGCCCCGGGCUUAACCUGGGAAUGGCAUUUGGGACUGCAAGGCUUGAGUGCGGCAGAGGAGACUGGAAUUCCUGGUGUAGCAGUGAAAUGCGUAGAUAUCAGGAGGAAUACCGAUGGCGAAGGCAGGUCUCUGGGCUGACAUUGACGCUCAUGCACGAAAGCGUGGGGAGCAAACAGGA